CAGAAGUGUUCGUUUCAGAAACUCCCAGCCUGCAGGACUCAGGAGUCAUGGGGCUGGCAGGUAGAGAAAGGAAAAUCUUCCCAAGGGGAGACACAUGGAAACUGAAGACCAAAGGCUUCUAAGAGGCAGCUCCACUGGAGAACAGUACCUUAGGCUUGUGGGAGAAGGCAGUCCCCAGAAACCCAGAGGAAGGGGAGAGAGGCACCCUUCCCUGUGUGGCAGCAAGAUAGGCUGGAAAGACAAGCUACUAGGUCACAUGCAGGCUUGGAGGCCCCAUUAAAGGGUGAUGGGAAAUUACCAAAGGGUUUUAAUGGGUUUAAGGGUUUACCAAAGGGCAGUGAAAUGACCCAAUAUGAUGUCAGAGGGGUCAUUCGGACUUCUUGGGAUAGAUCUUGGUAGUAGGUGACGGCUGCUGGUCCUUUGACUGUUGUCUCUUAAUGCUGCUGACCCUCUUUGGGAAGUUUGGAGUUAGAAGGUGUAUGGGUUUUAGAGAUGUUUAAAAGCCUGCCCUGGAGCCUACAUCACAAUAUAAAGAUGUGCUAACCAACUGGGCCCCUCCAGCUCUCAGCAUUGAAAGUAUAGUAUGGGGAAGGAAGGGCGUGCCUAUUUGAAGAGGAGCUCAGGAACCGACUAUAUUAGCUGCUCUAAUUAUUACUCACCGCCUGCAAUCCUGUACGGCUCCUUGCUCCCCUUUCACCUUAAUUAAACUUAUUGUACAGCCCAAGCCAGUCCCUGUUAUCAAAAUAAUAAGCAAACUAAGACAGCUAUAAAGAGCAAUUCACCCAACUUUAUGACUCUCUCCUUGGUACCAAGGGCAUUAUCUCUAUGGCCUAAGCCACCAGACACAAUAGCUCAGGCCUGCUUGUUAGCUGACCUACAGGGACCAGCUAUGACUCAUCUAUUUACUGCAGAGCAAAGAUGCAGGUUGCAUAAAGUGUACGCAGAAGAGGUCAUGCCCCCAAGGACGUGAGGGAGCACAGACACAUGUAAGGAGCUAGAGUCCUCGGCAGCGGCUGUUGCUGGUCAUUCUCCGUACCAUUCUGCUGAGCAGCUUCCAGGCAGCUGUCGUCACUGUGAUAUCCAGUGUGGGUAUCUCAACCUGGUAAUCUCAGAAGAAGAUUACGAUAAUAUAAUACUAACAAGAACAUCAGCAUCAUUCUGUUUGGUUCUUGAUUUCUGUGUGAAGAGGCACAAGAGUUUUAGAUUUUUGAAAGCAGAGCACCUUUCAGAUUGCAUGAUUGUCUUUGGACAUGUAACAAAUGCACGUUUUUAGAGGAAGCCUAUGGUCAUCUGGGGUGUUUAAAAUGCUGGUGCCUAGACUCACUCUUCAAGGACUGUCAAUUGAUUCCUGGUUGGGGCCCAGGAAUGAGCCUUUUAACUCAGGCAACUUGAUGCAGCUUUGGUGGAUGCCCAUAUUUUUCAUCCUUACAACAGCCUGCAAGAUCUGCAUGUAAAACUCUCAGCUCCUUCUCCAGCACCAUGUCUGCCUAUGCUCCCUGCCAUGAUGACAAUGGACCAAGCCUCUGAGCUGUACUGGGAUUAAAGGUGCACACCACCAGCGCCUGGCAGUCUG
ensembl:lncRNA